rnacentral:rRNA from 1 species
CCCCAGACUCCUACGGGAGGCAGCAGUGGGGAAUAUUGGACAAUGGGGGAAACCCUGAUCCAGCGACGCCGCGUGAGUGAAGAAGUAUUUCGGUACGUAAAGCUCUAUCAGCAGGAAAGAAAAUGACGGUACCUGACUAAGAAGCCCCGGCUAACUACGUGCCAGCAGCCGCGGUAAUACGUAGGGGGCAAGCGUUGUCCGGAAUCAUUGGGCGUAAAGCGUUCGUAGGCGGUAAAGUAAGUCAGAUGUUAAAGCCCGGGGCUCAACUCCGGUUCGGCAUUUGAUACUACUUGACUAGAAUGCGGUAGAGGUAAAGGGAAUUCCUGGUGUAGCGGUGAAAUGCGUAGAUAUCAGGAGGAACAUCGGUGGCGAAAGCGCUUUACUGGGCCGUUAUUGACGCUGAGGAACGAAAGCCAGGGUAGCAAACGGGAUUAGAUACCCGCGUAAG